GAAGCACGCCAGACUGCCGCUGGUGCAAGGGUGGAAACACCGCACUGGAGGAAGGUCCGGACUGCACAGGGCAGCGUAGCAGCUAACGGCUGUCCACCGUGAGGUGAGGAUCAGAGCUACAGAGACGAGCCGGUUAAGUCCGGGUGAAACGAGCAAUCUCUACGCGCAGCAAUACCAAGUAGGCACACGUUGACGGGGCCCCCGGAGUGUGCGGGUAGGUAGCACCGAG
rnacentral:RNase_P_RNA from 1 species